rnacentral:tRNA from 1 species
AUUUAUAUAGUUUAACUACAAAACAUUACAUUUUCAAUGUAAAAAUAAAAAAAUAUUUUUUAUAAAUA